GACGAACGCUGGCGGCGUGCUUAACACAUGCAAGUCGAACGGAAAGGCCCUGCUUGCAGGGUACUCUAGUGGCGAACGGGUGAGUAACACGUGGGUGAUCUGCCCUUCACUUCGGGAUAAGCCUGGGAAACUGGGUCUAAUACCGGAUAGGAGCCAUUUUUAUUGUGAUGGUUGGAAAGUUUUUUCGGUGUAGGAUGAGCUCGCGGCCUAUCAGCUUGUUGGUGGGGUAAUGGCCUACCAAGGCGGCGACGGGUAGCCGGCCUGAGAGGGUGGACGGCCACAUUGGGACUGAGAUACGGCCCAGACUCCUACGGGAGGCAGCAGUGGGGAAUAUUGCACAAUGGGCGCAAGCCUGAUGCAGAGACGCCGCGUGGGGGAUGACGGCCUUCGGGUUGUAAAAUCCUUUCGCUAGGGACGAAGCUUUUUGUGACGGUACCUAGAUAAGAAGCACCGGCUAACUACGUG
rnacentral:rRNA from 1 species